rnacentral:rRNA from 1 species
UACGUCGGGUGCGAGCGUUGUCCGGCAUUACUGGGCGUAAAGAGCUCGUAGGUGGUUUGUCGCGUUGUCCGUGAAAACUCACAACUCAAUUGUGGGCGUGCGGGCGAUACGGGCAGACUGGAGUACUGCAGGGGAGACUGGAAUUCCUGGUGUAGCGGUGGAAUGCGCAGAUAUCAGGAGGAACACCGGUGGCGAAGGCGGGUCUCUGGGCAGUAACUGACGCUGAGGAGCGAAAGCGUGGGGAGCGAACAGG